rnacentral:rRNA from 1 species
CUGGGAUAACUCCGGGAAACCGGGGCUAAUACCGGAUGGUUGUUUGAACCGCAUGGUUCAAACAUAAAAGGUGGCUUCGGCUACCACUUACAGAUGGACCCGCGGCGCAUUAGCUAGUUGGUGAGGUAACGGCUCACCAAGGCAACGAUGCGUAGCCGACCUAGAGGGGUGAUCGGCCACACUGGGACUGAGACACGGCCCAGACUCCUACGGGAGGCAGCAGUAGGGAAUCUUCCGCAAUGGACGAAAGUCUGACGGAGCAACGCCGCGUGAGUGAUGAAGGUUUUCGGAUCGUAAAGCUCUGUUGUUAGGGAAGAACAAGUACCGUUCGAAUAGGGCGGUACCUUGACGGUACCUAACCAGAAAGCCACGGCUAACUACGUGCCAGCAGCCGCGGUAAUACGUAGGUGGCAAGCGUUGUCCGGAAUUAUUGGGCGUAAAGGGCUCGCAGGCGGUUUCUUAAGUCUGAUGUGAAAGCCCCCGGCUCAACCGGGGAGGGUCAUUGGAAACUGGGGAACUUACGUGCAGAAGAGGAGAGUGGAAUUCCACGUGUAGCGGUGAAAUGCGUAGAGAUGUGGAGGAACACCAGUGGCGAAGGCGACUCUCUGGUCUGUAACUGACGCUGAGGAGCGAAAGCGUGGGGAGCGAACAGGAUUAGAUACCCUGGUAGUCCACGCCGUAAACGAUGAGUGCUAAGUGUUAGGGGGUUUCCGCCCCUUAGUGCUGCAGCUAACGCAUUAAGCACUCCGCCUGGGGAGUACGGUCGCAAGACUGAAACUCAAAGGAAUUGACGGGGGCCCGCACAAGCGGACCUGCAUGUGGUUUAAUUCGAAGCAACGCGAAGAACCUUACCAGGUCUUGACAUCCUCUGACAAUCCUAGAGAUUCCUCGUCCCCUUCGGGGGCAGAGUGACAGGUGGUGCAUGGUUGUCGUCAGCUCGUGUCGUGAGAUGUUGGGUUAAGUCCCGCAACGAGCGCAACCCUGGAUCUUAGUUGCCAGCAUUCAGUUGGGCACUCUAAGGUGACUGCCGGUGACAAACCGGAGGAAGGUGGGGAUGACGUCAAAUCAUCAUGCCCCUUAUGACCUGGGCUACACACGUGCUACAAUGGACAGAACAAAGGGCAGCGAAACCGCGAGGUUAAGCCAAUCCCACAAAUCUGUUCUCAGUUCGGAUCGCAGUCUGCAACUCGACUGCGUGAAGCUGGAAUCGCUAGUAAUCGCGGAUCAGCAUGCCGCGGUGAAUACGUUCCCGGGCCUUGUACACACCGCCCGUCACACCACGAGAGUUUGUAACACCCGAAGUCGGUGAGGUAACCUUUUAGGAGCCAGCCGCCGAAGGUGGGACAGAUGAUUGGGGUGAAGUCGUAACAAGGUAGCCGUAUCGGAAGGU